GACGAACGCUGGCGGCGUGCCUAACACAUGCAAGUCGAGCGGUAAGGCCCUUUCGGGGGUACACGAGCGGCGAACGGGUGAGUAACACGUGGGUGACCUGCCCUCAGCUCUGGGAUAAGCCUGGGAAACCGGGUCUAAUACUGGAUAUGACUCCAUGACGCAUGUUGUGGGGUGGAAAGCCUUGUGCGGCUGAGGAUGGGCCCGCGGCCUAUCAGCUUGUUGGUGGGGUGAUGGCCUACCAAGGCGACGACGGGUAGCCGGCCUGAGAGGGCGACCGGCCACACUGGGACUGAGACACGGCCCAGACUCCUACGGGAGGCAGCAGUGGGGAAUCUUGCGCAAUGGGCGAAAGCCUGACGCAGCGACGCCGCGUGAGGGAUGACGGCCU
rnacentral:rRNA from 1 species